GACGAACGCUGGCGGCGUGGCCGUAACACAUGCAAGUCGAACGGACGAAGGGAGCUUGCGUCCCUGGAGUUAAGGUGGCGAACGGGUGAGUAACGCAUGAGGAACCUGCCUCAAAGAGGGGGACAACAGUUGGAAACGACUGCUAAUACCGCAUAAGCCCACGACCCGGCAUCGGGUUGGGGGAAAAGGAGCAAUCCGCUUUGAGAUGGCCUCGCGUCCGAUUAGCUAGUUGGUGAGGUAACGGCCCACCAAGGCGACGAUCGGUAGCCGGACUGAGAGGUUGAACGGCCACAUUGGGACUGAGACACGGCCCAG
rnacentral:rRNA from 1 species